AACGAACGCUGGCGGCAUGCCUAACACAUGCAAGUCGAACGAAGGCUUCGGCCUUAGUGGCGCACGGGUGCGUAACGCGUGGGAAUCUGCCCCUCGGUUCGGAAUAACAGUUAGAAAUGACUGCUAAUACCGGAUGAUGACUUCGGUCCAAAGAUUUAUCGCCGAGGGAUGAGCCCGCGUAAGAUUAGGUAGUUGGUGGGGUAAAGGCCUACCAAGCCGACGAGCUUUAGCUGGUCUGCGUGGAUGCUCAGCCAAACUGGGACUGAGACACGGCCCAAACUCCUACGGGAGGCAGCAGUGGGGAAUAUUGGACAAUGGGCGAGAGCCUGAUCCAGCAAUGCCGCGUGAGUGAUGAAGGCCUUAGGGUUGUAAAGCUCUUUUACCAGGGAUGAUAAUGACAGUACCUGGAGAAUAAGCUCCGGCUAACUCCGUGCCAGCCGCCGCCGUAA
rnacentral:rRNA from 1 species